rnacentral:rRNA from 1 species
UAGGGAAUCUUCGGCAAUGGACGAAAGUCUGACCGAGCAACGCCGCGUGAGUGGAGAAGGUUUUCGGAUCGUAAAACUCUGUUGGUAGAGAAGAACGUUGGUGAGAGUGGAAAGCUCAUCAAGUGACGGUAACUACCCAGAAAGGGACGGCUAACUACGUGCUAG